rnacentral:rRNA from 1 species
CCGCAGUGGAUAACUGUGCUAAGGUAGCGUAAUAAAUUGUCUCUUAAUUGGAGAAGGGUAUGAAUGGUUUGACGUGGUGGUUUCUGUCUCAAUAAUAGUAUUGCGAAAUUUUCAUUUAAGUUAAAAGUCUUAAAUAUUAGUAAAAGACGAGAAGACCCUGUCGAGCUUAAUAAAAUUAUGUAGAGAUUUCAUAUAAUAAAUUUAACUGGGGCAGUUGAGAACCAAAAAAUAGUUCUUUGUUAUUUGAAGAUCCGGUUUUACCGAUCAUAAGAAAAAGCUACCGCAGGGAUAACAGCGUUAUCCUUUCUAAGAGAACUAAUUGAAGAAAGGGUUUGCGACCUCGAUGUUGGAUUAAAGUUUCUUUUUGGUGCAGCAGCU